UUUUUGUUUCGUUUCUCUCGCUUUAUUAAUAUUUAUGUGUGUCUGGGGGCGUGUUUUUAAUUAAGCGGGUCCACGGGACUCCAACUUGCACCAGAACAGCUCCCGGGGCAGCAGUCGGAAACCGGAGAUGCUGCUCAUCAUGUCCGCCGGAGUGCGAUCCGUAGGCUUCAGGUGGUAGCGCAGGACCAACUGGAAGAUCAGGGACUUCACCUCCAUGAGAGCCAGCCGGUUGCCUAUGCAGCUUCGUUGGCCCACUCCAAAGGGCAGGUACGUGAACUGCCGGAUCUCGUGCUUGUGCUCCUCGUCAAAGCGCUCCGGUCGGAAUUGCUCGGGUUCCGGGAAGUUAUCCGGGUCGUGAUGAAGUGCCCCCACGUUGAUGUGCACUAAGUCGUCCUCCCGCAGGUUAACCACCACCUCGCCUUCCUCAUCCUUCAACUGGAAAUCAGACCCACACAUUCGAUCCACGAUGAACGCCGGUGGCCACUUUCUCAGCGACUCGGACACCACGCAGUUCAGAUAUUUCAUGCCCAUCAGGGUGUCGUAGUCUAGUGGCUUCUCACCCAGCUGCUCCUUUACGGCCAGGAUCUCCGCGAGCAAUUUUUCUUGCACUUCGGGGUUCAUCAUAAGUUCGUAGCUGGUGAAGCUAAGGCAGGUGGCCACUGUUUCGAAUCCUGCCGAGAAGAACAAGAGGCACUGGGCCAGCAAGUCGUCAUCGUUGAAUUCGGCCUUAUCCUGCUGUGCUGCACUCUCCGCAGAUCCUUCUUGCUCUGCCUUAAACUGUCUCUGCGCCUCCAUCAGCAAAUGAAUCAUAUCGGGCCGCACGAUACUCUGCUCCUUUCGAUACUUCAUGGCACCGAAGACCAGCUUUUUGAAGUAGUCCACGUUAUUCAUGUCCAUCACGGGGACCCGAAGUGCCUAAAAGGGCGGAAAGGUUUUACAAUUUGAAAAAAGAAUGGAGUGGUGAUGUCUUUACCUUCAUCAAUUUUGGCAUCAGAAUGUAUAGCAUUACUUUGAGUCCGCCCCAGAAAGUAAACUCUGAAAUGCGCUGCCCGAUGGAAAAGAACUCGUUGUUGGGAUCCUUGAAGGAAUUCACUUGGAUGCCAAAGGCAGCCGUCGCGAUCACGUCGUUGGUGUAGCGCGUGAAGAAGUCCUUUAGCUCCAGUUCGGAAGUGCCGGCAUCCAGUUGGCGCUGCACGAAGUCCACCGCCUCUACAUUGCAGAAAUGGAUGAGCUCGAACAUCUGUCGGAUUUUGAGGCUGGUGAAAGUAGGCGUCAGGGUGCUGCGCAUUUGCUUCCAGCGACGAUCCCGCAGACUGAGCAAGCUCUUGGAAAUCACGCUGGUAUCGUUGAAUCCUUCAGUUAUCCCCUUGCGAUGGUUGGUGAAGGUAUCGAAGUUCUUGAUGCCCACCUGGCGAAUGAGUUCCGGGUCGGAGAGAUAGUAUAGGGGAUCCCGCAGGUUGAAGACUCCAUAGACCUUGUGCUGCUUCAGGCGCAAGUGCAGGUCAAUGCUAAUAGAAACGCACCGACCACGGAAUAUUUCCUAGCAGAGGAAUUGGCUUUUCGUGGGCCACGCCCCUCUUCGAGAAAUACCCGAAGGUGUAGACGGACCAUUUGUACAAUAGCAAACCGAUGAAGGCUACGAAUAUCGACAACUCCACGAAAACCAUGACGGGAUUUUGGGGAUGGAGCGUGGGAGUAGGGAGUAGGGGACUCUAAUCGAGCUGCGCAGCGCGUGGAGGUUCCGAAAAAUUCAGAGAGCUACUUCGCCAGUCAACAGACGGUACGCCACUGAAAUAAACAAUGUGCGCUCUUUCUGUAUAUAUAUAAGCUAUCUCGGAGAGAGAUACUAUAGGCACAUAUAUAGCGGGAGAGAAAAAACCGGCAAAACGUGUGAGUGUGUGUAUGAGUUUACCUGAUUAAGCGAAAGCGAAAUAAAAAACAAACAUUAAAAG
ensembl:ncRNA asRNA:CR43787 antisense RNA:CR43787